GUUAUAUUAAAAAAUUUUUAACUUUAAAUGGUAAAAAAAAAAAAAAAGUAACAGUUUUAACAAAACUUUCAAUUAAUUUAAGUUAGCCAUCUUAGAAAAGUAGAAAUCUACUUGUUUUUUUUGUUUGUUUGUUUUGUUUUUUUUGAGACAGUCUUACUCUGUCACCCAGGCUGGAGUGCAGUGAUGCAAUCUCGGCUCACUGAAACCUUCACCUCCUGGGUUCAAGCGAUUCUUGUGCCUCAGCCUCGCGAGUAGCUGGGAAGCUGGGAUUACAGUUGACCUUUAAACAACAUGGGUUUGAACUGCCUGGAUCUACUCACACAGGGAUUUUCUUCAGCCUCUGUCACCUGAGACAGCAAUACCAAUCCCUCCAACUCCUCUUCCUCAGCCUACUCAACUUUGUGAAGACGAUGAGGACAAAAACCUUUAUGAUGAACCACUUCCAUUUAAUGAACAGUAAAUAUACUUUCUUUUCCUUAGGAUUUUCUUAAUAACACUUGCUUUUCUAGCUUGCUUUAUAAUAAGACUGCAGUAUAUAAUACAUAUAACAAAAAAUAUGUGUAAUCAACUGUUAAUGUUAUCAGUAAGGCUUCUGGUCAACAGUAGGUUAUUAGGAGUUAAGUUUUGGGGGAGUCAAAAAUUAUACAGAUUUUUGACUGCAUGGGGGAUUGGCAUCCCUAACCCCCUGUGUAUUUAUAAAUAAAUACACAAGCACUACUAGUUGCAACUUUACUAAUACAGUACUUACAAGCUGGCAAGAUGAAAGCAUUUAUCCUAAAAACAUACACCUCCUAACCAGUCAGGGCUUCAUGAAUAUCACUUUGUUAUUUCUCAUACAUUUCUGGGAAUUAUUUGGUUGUUUGAUUAUAAAAUGGAAAGUCUCCCUAGUUGUGGAGGUCUCCACUGAAUGCACUAUGUCAAAUUCCUGGACAGUCCAAUGCUCUAACUCAGAUGGAACAAUUUGAUAUGGACUUAAUUAGUCUGCACUCUUACCAUCUCCAUGCCUAUGUUCUCAAAUCUCCCGAAUUUGUUCACCCAUGUUUCAUCUCAAGGUUAAUAAUGUGACCCAACAAAAACUGGCUUUUUCUUUUAAAUCUUUGUAAAGUUCAGCGCCCUAAACAUAGUUGAUACACAAACACAUUUCUGAGAGAACAGCUUACUGAAGGAAUCACACAUUUGAUUUUGUAUAACGAGAAACUGUCUCCAUCUCUUGAGAUAUUUUAACUUGAAGCCCCUACGUUCUAAUUCACCUGAGAUCCAUUAAACUCCUAAAAUUGCAUGCAAUUUUUUGGAGUGCUUUCAUUUUUCUCAAGGUAGAGUCCAUAGCUUUUAUUAGAUUUUCAAAUGGGGGGUGGUUAUAAGAGGAAAAUAAGAUUAAUAUACACCAUUAUAAUUAAUCUAUUAGUCCAUUUUCAUGCUACUGAUAAAGACAUAUCUGAGAGGGGGCAAUUUACAAAAGACUGUGGUUUAAUUGACUCACAGUUCCACAUGGCUG
rnacentral:lncRNA from 1 species